AUGCUCAUUUCGGCAGCACAUAUACUAAAUUGGAACAAUACAGAGAAGAUUAGCAUGUCCCCUGAGAAAGGAUGACAUGCAAAUUUGUGAAGCAUUCCAUAUUUUU